UACAGAGGGGGCAAGCGUUGUUUGGAAUUACUGGGCGUAAAGGGCGCGUAGGCGGCCUUCUAAGUCGAACGUGAAAUCCCCGGGCUCAACCCGGGAACUGCGUCCGAGACUGGAAGGCUCGAAUCCGGGAGAGGGAUGUGGAAUUCCAGGUGUAGCGGUGAAAUGCGUAGAUAUCUGGAGGAACAUCGGUGGCGAAGGCGGCAUCCUGGACCGGUAUUGACGCUGAGGCGCGAAAGCCAGGGGAGCAAAGCGGG
rnacentral:rRNA from 1 species